rnacentral:tRNA from 1 species
GUUAUCGCCAAGCGGUAAGGCACAGGAUUUUGAUUCCUGCAUCCGUAGGUUCGAAUCCUACUAGCC